AUCAAAGGUGAAGAGCGCUGUACCUGCCGAGCCCAGAUUACCCUCGGUGAGAGGAGAGAACCGGAAGAAAAAGAUCACUGAUUUUGAGCUGACUCAGCUGCAGGAUAAACUGAGGGAGACAGAGAUGGUGAUGGAGAGGAUUGUGUCUAAAGCCAGCUACAGCUCUAAAAGGGUGACAGGGGUGAGUGCCGACCAAGAGGAGAGACUGCUUCUCCAGCUGAGAGAGAUCACACGGGUGAUGCAGGAGGGCCGCCUGGUGGAGGGGGUCGCCCCACCAGAGAUGGGGGCCCAA